rnacentral:tRNA from 1 species
ACCCAGGUGGCUUAGUCAGUUAGGUGUCUGACUUCGGCUCAGGUCAUGAUAUGGCAGUUUGUGGGUUCGAGCCCCACAUUGGGCA